AGUGAACGCUGGCGGUAGGCCUAACACAUGCAAGUCGAACGGCAGCACAGGAGAGCUUGCUCUCUGGGUGGCGAGUGGCGGACGGGUGAGGAGUACAUCGGAAUCUACUCUGUCGUGGGGGAUAACGUAGGGAAACUUACGCUAAUACCGCAUACGACCCACGGGUGAAAGCAGGGGACCGUUGGACCUUGCGCGAUUGACUGAGCCGAUGUCGGGUUAGCUAGUUGGCGGGGUAUAGGCCCACCAAGGCGAGGAUCCGUAGCUGGCCUGAGAGGAUGAUCAGCCAAACUGGAACUGAGACACGGUCCAGACUCCUACGGGAGGCAGCAGUGGGGAAUAUUGGACAAUGGGCGAAAGCCUGAUCCAGCCAUACGGCGUGGGUGAAGAAGGCCUUCGGGUUGUAAAGCCCUUUUGUUGGGAAAGAAAUCCAGCUGGCUGAUACCCGGUUGGGAUGACGGUACCCAAAGAAUAAGCACCGGCUAACUUCGUGCCAGCAGCCGCCGUAA
rnacentral:rRNA from 1 species